rnacentral:rRNA from 1 species
UAUGUGAUCGUCUCUCGCAUAUCAAUAAGCGGAGGAAAAGAAACUAACAAGGAUUCCCCUAGUAACGGCGAGUGAAGCGGGAAGAGCUCAAAUUUGAAAUCUUAAAGGGUUUCCCUUUACGAAUUGUAGUUUAAAGAAGUGUUUUCUGUUGAGGUUUUGGUAAAAGUUCUUUGGAAUAGGACAUCAUAGAGGGUGAGAAUCCCGUAUUUGACCUUUACUUUCAACUUUGUGAUACACUUUCAAAGAGUCGGAUUGUCUGGGAAUGCAGUCCAAAAUGGGUGGUAAAUUUCAUCUAAAGCUAAAUAUUGGCGAGAGACCGAUAGCGAACAAGUACCGUGAGGGAAAGAUGAAAAGAACUUUGAAAAGAGAGUUAAACAGUACGUGAAAUUGUCAAAAGGGAAGCGUUUGACACCAGUGUUGUUUUUCUGAAAAUCAAUUAAAGAACUGUUUAUGCUAAGUUGUUUAGACUUUAUCAGCUAACUGUUUAGUUUUGAGCUUUUCUUUAAUGCACUUUUCAGUUAACAAGUCAACAUCAAUUUCUUUUGCUGUAAAAAAGCUUGAGGAAGGUGGCUUGAGAUUCGUCUUAAGUGUUUAUAGCCUCUUGCCUAUGCAGUCGGAGAGAUUGAGGUCUGCAGCGUAGAUCCUUCGGGGCUAAAUGCAUUUGUGCUAAGUUAUAGCAUUUUAUAGACAACUUGUUGACUAUGAUUUGUCUUGUAGCUUACUCGCUUAUGUUAUUUUACCUACGCUUAGGAUGUUGAGUAGCGACAUACGCAC